ensembl:snRNA U6 U6 spliceosomal RNA
GUGCCGCCUUUGGCAGCACAUAUACUAAAAUUAGAACAAUACAGAGAAGAUUAGCGUGGCCCCUUUGCAAGGACGACACAAUAAUAAAGAUGUUGUACCAUACAUGC